rnacentral:rRNA from 1 species
AUUGAACGCUGGCGGCAGGCCUAACACAUGCAAGUCGAGCGGAGCGGCGGACGGGUGAGUAAUGCCUAUGAAUCUGCCUGGUAGUGGGGGAUAACGUCCGGAAACGGGCGCUAAUACCGCAUACUAUCAGAUGAGCCUAGGCCGGAUUAGCUAGUUGGUUGGGUAAAGACAUACCAAGGCGUCGAUCCGUAACUGGUGUGAGAGGAUGAUCAGUCACGCUGGAAAUGAGACACGGUCCAGACUCCUACGGGAGGCAGCAGUGGGGAAUAUGGGAAAAUGGGCGAAAGCCUGAGGCAGCCAUGCCGCGUGUGGGAAGAAGGUCUUCGGAUGGUAAAGCACUUUAAGUUGGGAGGCGUUACCAACAGAAUAAGCACCGGCUAACUUCGUGCCAGCAGCCGCGGUAAUUC